GAGUUUGAUCCUGGCUCAGAGUGAACGCUGGCGGUAGGCCUAACACAUGCAAGUCGAACGGCAGCACAGGAGAGCUUGCUCUCUGGGUGGCGAGUGGCGGACGGGUGAGGAAUACAUCGGAAUCUACUCUGUCGUGGGGGAUAACGUAGGGAAACUUACGCUAAUACCGCAUACGACCUACGGGUGAAAGUGGGGGACCGCAAGGCCUCACGCGAUUGAAUGAGCCGAUGUCGGAUUAGCUAGUUGGCGGGGUAAAGGCCCACCAAGGCGACGAUCCGUAGCUGGUCUGAGAGGAUGAUCAGCCACACUGGAACUGAGACACGGUCCAGACUCCUACGGGAGGCAGCAGUGGGGAAUAUUGGACAAUGGGGGCAACCCUGAUCCAGCCAUGCCGCGUGUGUGAAGAAGGCCUCGGUUGUAAG
rnacentral:rRNA from 1 species